rnacentral:rRNA from 1 species
UACGUAGGGUGCAAGCGUUGUCCGGAAUUAUUGGGCGUAAAGAGCUCGUAGGCGGUCUGUCGCGUCGGCUGUGAAAUCCCGAGGCUCAACCUCGGGCCUGCAGUCGAUACGGGCAAACUAGAGUAUUGCAGGGGAGACUGGAAUUCCUGGUGUAGCGGUGAAAUGCGCAGAUAUCAGGAGGAACACCGGUGGCGAAGGCGGGUCUCUGGGCAAUAACUGACGCUGAGGAGCGAAAGCGUGGGGAGCGAACAGG